ensembl:lincRNA
AUGCCAGAACGUGCUGGCAGCUGGGCGAGCUUGGAGGUUUCAGCGGCCGCACAGGGGGCUCGCCUUGGGUACAGGUGCGCGGUCUCAAGCGUGCGGGUGAAGAGGCCUUGGGUACAGGUGCGCGGUCUCAAGCGUGCGGGUAAAGUGGCCUUGGCCCUCACCCCUGCAUGUAACAGGUCUGCAGCUCACUCGACAGCAGGAGUCAGGGAGGGGGGGUCUGAGAGUCACAGAACCACGGGGAGAAGCUUGGAGGAAGAGCACGGCCUGGGGCGGGGGCAGGGAAGCGGGGCAGGUUGGAAAUGGGUUGGAGGAUUUCCUAGGGGAAACCCAGCGAUCAGGCUUUGUUUGUUUUUUAGGGUACUGGUGCUGGGGGUUAACCCAGAGAACCCCGGACCUCAUAUGUGGGACACUGGUGCUCAACCACGGAGCCACAUCGGCUCUCAGGAGCUGGUUUUUUCGUUUGUUUUGUUUGCUUGUUGUUUGUUUGUUUUUGUUUUUAGGAGGUACCAGGGACAGAACCGGGGACCUCCCGCGUGGCAAGCAGGUGCUCCACCGCUGAGCCGCGUCCGCUCCCCAGCCAGCGUUAGCUGUAGCUCCCAUCUUCCGGCACUUUGUUGGGAAGAAACGAGGCCGAUCCUGGUUGCAGCACGGGUUUCUGCCAAGCUGCUCGUUUGAGCUGGGCCACGCCUUCUCCUGCAGGCACAGGGGCCUGGAAACAGGGCUCGGGACCAUCUCAACUGACCAUCUCGCUUCACGACGCGGUUCAGCUCAGAGAUCAUUUUAGAAUUCCUUCCCUGACCUUCCUUCCGACCAUGGCCUUGGAGUCUGCGCUGGCACCUAGGACCUCUGCUGAGCUCACUGCCUUGAGCCCAGGCGGGACAGCAUGGCCAGGCCAAGCCACCACCAUGACCCGGAAGCCAAGUCCAGGAAGAAUGCCCAAAACAGUUAAGACCAGUUAACUCCGGGGACCGUGGGGGGCCAUCAGCUCCUAAGGAAGGGCUGAUCGAGGAGCACGUGUGCCCCAUGUCUGUAAAGAGCCACAGAGCCGGGGGUCCUGGUUAGCCUUUGUGCGGAAAGCUAAAUGACCACAAAAAGAAGGCGAGAGGAAGCGGGCCGUGGAGACUGGGCGUGCAGGCAAGUCAAGAAACCCGGCCACACGGAAGGAAAGGUUCACGCCGAACACAGUCAAGGAAACCAGGGAGCCCAGCGUGAGGCCGAGUUCAGAGCCCACGCAGGCCUGUCCAAAGAGCUGUGAUGGCUGAGUCAGCCGUCGGGAAAGAAAGCAGCCGUUUGAGGGCCACUUUACACCUUUCACUCGACAGUUUGUGGGUAGGGUGACGCCCUGGGCGCUAAGCCUCUUGGCUGCCUGCUGACGCUUGACACCCCAUAGGUGGAUUAUGGGGGGAAAACUGUAACCCCCCAGGCUGACUUGGCCUCAUUUUUUCUGCCAUUACCACACUGGAGUGUCCACAGAGAAUGUAACAAGAUAGAGGGAUGCAAUGAGGAUCGGAACUCUCUUAAGUCCUAACCCAAAUGCCUUUCUAGGUUAUGACUCAGAUAUAGAUUACUUGAUUUUCACAUCAUUGCUCCCUCCUUAAAUGCAGAAAGUCAAGAAAUUACUAAUUCCAUAGGAGAUGGGAAGUGGAUUUGGCUCAACUGAUAGAGCAUCUGCCUACCACAUGGGAGGUCCAGGGUUCAAAGCCCGGGUCUCCCGACCUGUGUGAUGAGCUGGCCCACGUGCGGUGCUGAUGCACGCAAGGAGGGCCGUGCCACGCAGGGGUGUCCCCCACGUAGGGGAGCCCCAUGCACAAGGAGUGCACCCUGCAAGGAGAGCCGCCCUGCGUGAAAAAAAAGCACAGCCUGCCCAGGAGUGGCACUGCACACAUGGAGAACUGAUGCAGCAAGAUCAUGCAACAAAAAGAGACAUGGAUUCCUGGUGCCGCUGACAAGAAUGCAAGCAGACACAGAAGAACACACAGCAAAUGGACACAGAGAGCAGACAACGGGGGGCGGGGGAUGGGGAAGAAAUAGAUAAAUAAUAAAUCUUAAAAAAAAAUUUCCAUAUGUUAAAACUGCUGGUAAUUAAAAAAAUAAUAAUCCAAAGUUUAAUCAGGCACCUUCCAUAUAUAUCCUUUUGUUCCCCCGUCUGUCUUAAAGGAGUCAUUC